UAUUCCAUUUCUUAUUUUUCCCUUUCAUCGCGGUGCCUCGAAUGAUCGUCCUCUCUCUUAGCUCUCUCGACUGACUCUCUACGACGACUGUGAGGAUUCGAAUCUGCGUUUUGGUUUUCUGCUGAUUUUAAUCCUUGUUGUGAUUACGUCGCGGCACUCUCUCACAAUUGAAAUCAAUAGUUAAAAAACCUUAUUAUUGGCUAUAAUCGAUUUAUGAACCCUAGGAUUGCUGGGAUACAAUUGAUUAUCCGAUGAUUAUCACUGCUGGCAGCUAUUUUGUGGAUUGCUAUUCACCGAAGCAGAGGAUAUUCGGUUGAAUCUGCGGAUUCGAUCUGUACGGAUUGGCCAUGCGACGGUUGUUCUCGGAGACGAUCGGCCUCUUGAGAGAGGACUCCACCACCAUCGCCUCCGCCUCUGCUAUCUAUCGAGGUGUUAUUUAUUCUGAAUUAGCCGAUCGUUGUAGAUAUCGCGAUGGCCGUUGACACGCACGUCCCUAGUUCAAGGGAGCUGCUGUGCAAUGCUGGCGCCGGUGCCGCAGCUGGAGUGAUUGCAGCUACUUUUGUGUGUCCAUUAGAUGUUAUUAAGACAAAGCUGCAGGUCCAUGGGCUGCCGCAGCUCACUAGUAGUAAUUUUAAAGGUAGUGUUAUAUUUGGGAGCUUAGAACAAAUAUUUCUGAAGGAUGGGUAUCGAGGCAUGUAUCGUGGGCUUUCGCCUACCGUGCUUGCAUUGAUUCCAAAUUGGGCGGUGUAUUUUACAAUUUAUGAUCAAUUAAAGAGUUCUCUUGGUGCUGAUGAUGUAAAUCAUCAUCAGCUCUCAAUUGGUGCGAAUAUGAUUGCUGCUUCUGGUGCUGGGGCUUUGACUACGAUUGUCACAAAUCCUCUUUGGGUUGUCAAGACAAGGUUUCAAGCUCAAGAAAUUAAACCAGGGGUGGUUCCUUAUAGUGGCACAAUUUCCGCCUUGAGAACAAUCGCACUCAAAGAGGGUACUCGUGGACUAUAUAGUGGUCUUGUGCCAGCUUUGGCUGGUAUCAGUCAUGUUGCAAUUCAGUUUCCUACAUAUGAGAAGAUAAAAAGUUACUUAGCUGAUCAAAAUAACACCACCACGGAUAAACUCAGUGCUAGCGAUGUUGCAAUUGCUUCCUCGGUUUCAAAAAUAUCAGCUUCCACCUUGACAUAUCCCCAUGAGGUUGUGCGUUCAAGGCUUCAAGAACAAGGACACCACUCAGAGAAACGGUAUUCUGGUGUGGUAGAUUGCGUGAAGAAAGUAUAUCAGAGCUCAGGUGUCCCUGGUUUUUAUCGGGGUUGUGCCACCAACCUGCUGAGGACAACCCCAUCUGCUGUAAUCACAUUCACCAGUUUUGAAAUGAUUCAUCGCUUUCUUGUCACCGUGUUCCCUCCUGGUCCACACCCUCAAACACUGUGAGGUUGCAGCUCAGUUGAGCCGGUUUCAAGUAGCAGUUGCCAAUUUGUCCUACCGUAUAGACUCCCUUCUUUCCUAAUUUGGUUAAAUUCUGGUUUUAGGAGAGAGAUUAUAUGUGAUUGAUGUUGAUGAUGAUGAGUUAUGAUACAGGGACGCCCUAAUUCAAUGUAUCCAAUUAAUUUCUCAAGGAAUUGUAAUAUCUUCAGAUAUGGAUGUGGUUCAAAUCAAAAUUUCUUAUUGGGAGAAUUAAGUGACAUCUGCACUGGACUUGUGAAAUAACUAACUAUGGUUAACUGUACAAUCAGCAAAUACUGCCUGUUACUAUGUGUAUGUGUGUUUUUGUGUUAACCUAGGAGUAUAGUGAUUAAUGCCGAGAUCAAAUGUCUCAUGUUUAUGUCCAUCGUGACACAGUGAUCUUUAAAUUUAAUGUUGCAUUUAACAAAAAAUCAGAUUGCUUGUAGAGGUUUUGAACUCUACAUUUAGCAAAUAUCGCAAAUUAUAUCCAGUA